CUUCUCCAAAGUUUCUAGGAAUAAAUAUAUAAUGAUACUAAUGAUAGAGGAGUUAUAUACAUGUUCUGCAGUAAGGCAAGGUUUUUUGGCAUCUGGUUUUCCUAGCUAGCUGCAAAUAGAAACAACCCUUUUUUGCAGGAAAUAGAAGAAAAUCAAUGGAUAUAUUUGAGACAUUCCCACAAGUUAGCAUGUGGGGUGACAACUUUAAGGUUGAUGGUGGCCUCAUAAAUUCAAUCACUUCUCCAAUGUUGUUGAUGAGCACAAGCACCAUGGCCAUGGAUAACAAGCCUGAAUAUGUUCCACAUGAAUUGAGGGAACAAUCUAGACAAAAUCAAGAGGCUACCAAUAAAGAUGUUAGUAAGGUAAUGAA